UACGUAGGGUCCGAGCGUUGUCCGGAAUUAUUGGGCGUAAAGAGCUCGUAGGCGGCCCGUUAAGUCGGAAGUGAAAUCUCAAGGCUCAACCUUGAAAUCGCUUUCGAUACUGGCGGACUUGAGGCAGGUAGGGGAAGGUGGAAUUCCUGGUGUAGCGGUGAAAUGCGCAGAUAUCAGGAGGAACACCGGUGGCGAAGGCGGCCUUCUGGGCCUGUUCUGACGCUGAGGAGCGAAAGCGUGGGGAGCAAACAGG
rnacentral:rRNA from 1 species